UAUGAAUUGCCUGAUUAAAAGGAAUAUCUUGAUAGGAUAGAAUAUAAGAAUAAUAUUUCUUAUUCAUAA
rnacentral:tRNA from 1 species